rnacentral:rRNA from 1 species
GGCGCAGGAAACUUGAGAAGGCUCGCUCCUAGUACGAGAGGACCAGAGUGAACGGUUCAAUGGUGUACCAGUUGUCACGCCAGUGGCACCGCUGGGUAGCUAUAACCGGUUGAGAUAAGCGCUGAAAGCAUCUAAGCGCGAAACUCGCUUCAAGAUUAGGUUUCCAUGUUGGUAGCAAUACCGACGAGAGGUUCCAGAAAGAUUAUCUGGUUGAUAGGCUGCAGGUGUAAGCACAGUGAUGUGUUCAGCUGAGCAGUACUAAUAAACCGACAACUUGCCAUUAAUUUUUUAUUA